GCUGCUUGCUCAGAGCAUUGUCAUCUAUGAGGUCAGACCAGGUUGCUCAGAGCUGUGUUCAGUCAGGAUUUAAAAACCACAAAGGACAGAGAACACAGACUCUCUGAGGAGGAAACAACUUUCUUACUGCAAUUUAAAUCUUUAGGGAAGCACUAUAACUGAAACACUACAACUGAUCUUCAAAAAACUUGCAGUCAGAUUUGAUUUUAUUAAAGUGAAGUGAAUUUCUCUCCAGAUGCCUGGAGAUCUAUUUAGCAUGCUUAAGAGAUGCUCUCUUAGGAUGCUGCUGCAUGAGAAGUGACAUGCUGAGGGACAUGAUUGUCUUGUUCACUGUUGCCAUAUGAAGCAAUGGAUUGGAAAAAUAUAAAGUACCCACUGAAAAAAAAUUAAUAAAUAAGCACUGGAAGAAAUUAAUAAA